AAUGCUUAGAUAUUACACAGGACACCAAUUGCGAAGGCAGCUCACUAAACUAAUAUUGACGCUGAGGCACGAAAGCGUGGGUAGCAAACAGGAUUAGAUACCCUGGUAGUCCACGCUGUAAACUAUGAUCACUCGCUGUUGGCAAUACAUCGUCAGCGGCUGAGCGAAAGCAUUAAGUGAUCCACCUGGGGAGUACGGUCGCAAGAUUGAAACUCAAAGGAAUUGACGGGGGCCCGCACAAGCGGAGGAACAUGUGGUUUAAUUCGAUGAUACGCGAGGAACCUUACCUGGGCUUAAAUGCAGAGCGACGUCCGCCGAAAGGUGGAUUCCUUCGGGCGAUCUGCAAGGUGCUGCAUGGUUGUCGUCAGCUCGUGCCGUGAGGUGUCGGGUUAAGUCCCAUAACGAGCGCAACCCUUAUCGUUAGUUGCCAGCGGGUAAUGCCGGGGACUCUAACGAAACUGCCGGUGUAAACCGUGAGGAAGGUGGGGAUGACGUCAAAUCAGCACGGCCCUUAUGUCCAGGGCUACACACGUGUUACAAUGGUCGGUACAGAGGGCAGCUACCACGCAAGUGGAUGCUAAUCUCGAAAACCGGUCUCAGUUCGGAUUGAAGUCUGCAACUCGACUUCAUGAAGCUGGAUUCGCUAGUAAUCGCGCAUCAGCCAUGGCGCGGUGAAUACGUUCCCGGGCCUUGUACACACCGCCCGUCAAGCCAUGGAAGCUUGGGGUACAUGAAGUCCGUAACCGCAAGGAGCGGCACUAGGGUAAGACAAGUGACUGG
rnacentral:rRNA from 1 species